rnacentral:rRNA from 1 species
GAUGAACGCUAGCGAUAGGCCUAACACAUGCAAGUCGAGGGGCAGCACGGGAGUAGCAAUACAACUGGUGGCGACCGGCGCACGGGUGAGUAACGCGUAUGUAAUCUACCUACAACAAGGGGAUAACCCGGAGAAAUCCGGACUAAUACCGCAUAAAACAGGGGUCCCGCCUGGGACUAUUUGUUAAAGAUUUAUCGGUUGUAGAUGAGCAUGCGUUCCAUUAGAUAGUUGGUAAGGUAACGGCUUACCAAGUCAGCGAUGGAUAGGGGAACUGAGAGGUUUGUCCCCCACACUGGAACUGAGACACGGACCAGACUCCUACGGGAGGCAGCAGUGAGGAAUAUUGGUCAAUGGGCGAGAGCCUGAACCAGCCAAAUCGCGUGAAGGAAGACUGCCUUAUGGGUUGUAAACUUCUUUUACAGGGGGAUAAAAAGACAUACGAGUAUGUCAUUGCAUGUACCCUGUGAAUAAGCAUCGGCUAACUCCGUGCCAGCAGCCGCCGUAA